GGAGCUAUAGCUCAGCGGGAGAGCAUCUGCUUGACGUGCAGAGGGUCGUGGGUUCAAUCCCCUCUGGCUCCACCA
rnacentral:tRNA from 1 species